UACGAAGGGGCUAGCGUUGCUCGGAAUCACUGGGCGUAAAGGGUGCGUAGGCGGGUCUUUAAGUCAGGGGUGAAAUCCUGGGAAGCUCCAACUCCAGAACGUGCCUUUGAUACUGAGGAUCUUGAGUUCGGGAGAGGUGAGUGGAAUUCCCGGUGUGAGGCGGUGAAAUGCGUAGAGAUCGGAAAAGAACACCAACGGCGAAAGCACUCUGCUGGGCCGGAACACUGACACUGAGAGACGAAAGCUAGGGGAGCGAAAUGGGA
rnacentral:rRNA from 1 species